AGCAAACUAAGCUGAGAGAAGCAGAAGAGCAUCACUACAUCUCCAAGUUCUCCACCUGACCUACUUCUCAGACUCAGUAAAUGUCACCCUCCUGCCGGGGCUACCUGCUUUGCCUGGACCAGAAGUUGUAGCUCUACACUAGAGUGAAGCCCUAUGGACCUCUUGGACCUGGCAGCAGAAGACUGAUGUGACCCUGAGACCUCAGCCCCCUUCAAGAUCACCUUGGAGGAUCCCAGGGUUACUGUCCAAGAAGCAGAUGCCUCCAGGACCACCUACGGGAACUCAGCAGAUAGACUUCCCACCAGAUGCUACUACAACCCUCUCCCAACAAUUGGCCUUAUCUGUAGAUGAAGCAUGGGAAAGACCGUCAGCCUUCGCUCCUGGGGACUUCACAAAUUUUCAAAUUCCAGCCAACCCCCCCCUUAAUGAUGCCCCCA